AACGGCAGCAUGAGGUGUAGCAAUACACCUUGAUGGCGAGUGGCGGACGGGUGAGGAAUGCAUCGGAAUCUGCCCAAUCGUGGGGGACAACGCAGGGAAACUUGCGCUAAUACCGCAUACGACCUUCGGGUGAAAGCAGGGGAUCUUCGGACCUUGCGCGAUUGGAUGAGCCGAUGCCGGAUUAGCUAGUUGGCGGGGUAAAAGCCCACCAAGGCGACGAUCCGUAGCUGGUCUGAGAGGAUGAUCAGCCACACUGGGACUGAGACACGGCCCAGACUCCUACGGGAGGCAGCAGUGGGGAAUAUUGGACAAUGGGGGCAACCCUGAUCCAGCAAUGCCGCGUGUGUGAAGAAGGCCUUCGGGUUGUAAAGCACUUUUAUCGGGAACGAAACAUUGUCGGCUAAUACCCGGCAAGACUGACGGUACCCGAGGAAUAAGCACCGGCUAACUCCGUGCCAGCAGCCCGCGGUAAUACGGAGGGUGCAAGCGUUAAUCGGAAUUACUGGGCGUAAAGCGUGCGCAGGCGGUUUGUUAAGUCUGCUGUGAAAUCCCGAGCUCAACUUGGGAAUUGCAAUGGAUACUGGCAAGCUUGGAAUAUGGUAGAAGAAGGUGGAAUU
rnacentral:rRNA from 1 species